GACGAACGCUGGCGGCGUGCUUAACACAUGCAAGUCGAGCGGAAAGGCCCUUUCGGGGGUACUCGAGCGGCGAACGGGUGAGUAACACGUGAGUAAUCUGCCUCUGGCUUCGGGAUAGCCACCGGAAACGGUGAUUAAUACCGGAUACGACGCAUCACUGCAUGGUGUGUGCGUGGACAGUUUUUUCGGCCAGGGAUGUGCUCGCGGCCUAUCAGCUUGGUGGUGGGGUAAUGGCCUACCAAGGCUUCGACGGGUAGCCGGCAUGAGUGGGUGACCGGGCACACGUGGACUGAGACACAGGCCAGAGUCUUACGGGAGGCAGCAGUGGGGAAUAUUGGAGAAUGGGCGGAAGGCUGAUCCAGCAACGCGGCGUGGGGGAUGACGGCUCUCUGGUUGUAAACCUCGUUCAGCACAGACGAAGCGCAAGUGACGGUAUGUGCAGAAGAAGGACCGGCCAACUACGUGCCAGCCGCCGCGGUAAAAC
rnacentral:rRNA from 1 species